AACGAACGCUGGCGGCAGGCUUAACACAUGCAAGUCGAGCGCAUCCUUCGGGGCGAGCGGCGGACGGGUGAGUAACGCGUGGGAACGUGCCCUCUUCUACGGAAUAGCCUCGGGAAACUGAGAGUAAUGCCGUAUACGCCCGCAAGGGGAAAGAUUUAUCGGAGGAGGAUCGGCCCGCGUUGGAUUAGGUAGUUGGUGGGGUAACGGCCUACCAAGCCGACGAUCCAUAGCUGGUUUGAGAGGAUGAUCAGCCACACUGGGACUGAGACACGGCCCAGACUCCUACGGGAGGCAGCAGUGGGGAAUCUUGGACAAUGGGGGCAACCCUGAUCCAGCCAUGCCGCGUGAUCGAUGAAGGCCUUAGGGUUGUAAAGAUCUUUCAGCUGGGAAGAUAAUGACGGUACCAGCAGAAGAAGCCCCGGCUAACUCCGUG
rnacentral:rRNA from 1 species